rnacentral:rRNA from 1 species
GACGAACGCUGGCGGCAGGCUUAACACAUGCAAGUCGAGCGAGAGGCGGACGGGUGAGUAUUGCAUGGGGACUGCCCGAUCGAGGGGGAUAACAACUGGAAACGGUAGCUAAUACCGCCGACUCUCGGAUAACCCAUGUGGGGUUGGCCAGUUGGUGAGAUAAUGGCUCACCAAUGCGACGAUCCUUAGCUGGUCGGCGAGGAUGAUCAGCCACACUUGGACUGGGAGACGGCCCAGACUCCUACGGUGGCAGCAGUGGGGAAUAUUGCGCAAUGGGCGCAAGCCUGAUGCAGCGGCGCCGCGUGGGGGAUGAAGGCUUUCGGGUUGUAAACCUCUUUCGCUAUCGAACGGGUAGGUGGAGAAGAAGCGCCGGCUAACUACGUGACAGCAGCCGCGGUAAUAC